GACGAACGCUGGCGGCAGGCCUAACACAUGCAAGUCGAGCGAGGACUUCGGUCCUAGCGGCGGACGGGUGAGUAACGCGUGGGAACGUGCCCUUUGCUUCGGAAUAGCCCUGGGAAACUGGGAGUAAUACCGGAUGAGCUCUUUGGGGGAAAGAUGUAUCGGCGCAGGAUCGGGCCGCGUUGGAUUAGGUAGUUGGUGGGGUACUGGCCUAUCAAGCCGACGAUCCAUAGCUGGUUGGGGAGGAUGAUCAGUCACACUGGGGCUGAGACACGGCCCAGACUCCGACGCGGGGCAGCAGAAGGGAAUCUUAUACAAGGGAGGAAGCCCUGAUCUAGCCGUGCCGCGUAAGCGAUGAAGGCCUUAGGAUUGUGAAGCUCUUUCAGAUGGGGAGAGAAUGACGGUACCAGCAAAAGAAGCCCCGGCUAACUCCGUG
rnacentral:rRNA from 1 species